GACGUAGGGCGCGAGCGUUGUCCGGAUUUAUUGGGCGUAAAGAGCUCGUAGGCGGCUCAUUGCGUCAACCGUGAAAACCAGCAGCUCAACUGUUGGCUUGCGGUUGAUACGGGUGGGCUGGAGUUCGGUAGGGGAGACUGGAAUUCCUGGUGUAGCGGUGAAAUGCGCAGAUAUCAGGAGGAACACCCGGUGGCGAAGGCGGGUCUCU
rnacentral:rRNA from 1 species